AGUGAACGCUGGCGGUAGGCCUAACACAUGCAAGUCGAACGGCAGCACAGUAAGAGCUUGCUCUUACGGGUGGCGAGUGGCGGACGGGUGAGGAAUACAUCGGAAUCUACUUUUUCGUGGGGGAUAACGUAGGGAAACUUACGCUCAUACCGCAUACGACCUACGGGUGAAAGCAGGGGAUCUUCGGACCUUGCGCGAUUGAAUGAGCCGAUGUCGGAUUAGCUAGUUGGCGGGGUAAAGGCCCACCAAGGCGACGAUCCGUAGCUGGUCUGAGAGGAUGAUCAGCCACCCUGGAACUGAGACACGGUCCAGACUCCUACGGGAGGCAGCAGUGGGGAAUAUUGGACAAUGGGCGCAAGCCUGAUCCAGCCAUACCGCGUGGGUGAAGAAGGCCUUCGGGUUGUAAAGCCCUUUUGUUGGGAAAGAAAAGCAGCAGGUUAAUACCCCGCUGUUCUGACGGUACCCAAAGAAUAAGCACCGGCUAACUUCGUG
rnacentral:rRNA from 1 species